CAGUAGCCGCGGUAAUACGAGGGGGGCAAGCGUUGUUCGGAAUUAUUGGGCGUAAAGGGUGCGUAGGCGGUUUGAUAAGUCAUCUGUGAAAUCUCUGGGCUCAACCCAGAGUCUGCAGGCGAAACUGUCGGGCUUGAGUAUGGGAGGGGUGAGUGGAAUUUCCGGUGUAGCGGUGAAAUGCGUAGAUAUCGGAAGGAACACCUGUGGCGAAAGCGGCUCACUGGACCAUAACUGACGCUGAUGCACGAAAGCUAGGGGAGCAAACAGGAUUAGAUACCCCAGUAGUCCCUGUCUCUUAUAC
rnacentral:rRNA from 1 species